CGGUUUGUAGUUUAAUCGGCAAAACAUAK
rnacentral:tRNA from 1 species